GGCUCGAAUGCAGUGACGUGAUCAUGGAUCACUGCAGUCCUCAACUUACUGGGCUCAGGUAAUCCUCCCACCUCAACCUCCCAGGUAGCAGAGAUUACAGGUGCAUGCCACCACCAUCCUUGGCUGAAUUAAAAAAAAUUUUUUUGUAAAGACCAUAUUUCACCAUAUGCCCAGGCUGGUCCUGAAGUCCUAAUCUCAAGGAAUCCCCUGGCCUCAGCCUCCCGAAGUGCUGGGAUUACAGUAGAGAUGGGGUUUCACCAUAUUGGCUAUGCUGGUCUCGAACUCCUGACCUUGUGAUCCACCUGCCUUGGCCUCCCAAAGUGCUGGGAUUACAGGAUGAAAGGCUUCCUAGCACAAACACCACCCCUGGAGUUCCCGGUACAUCAAUACCAGCCUGGGGAUCACGUUCUCAUCAAGAGUUGGAAGAGGGAAAGCUUGAACCAGCUUAGGAGGACCUCAUCUGGUACUCUUGAUGAAUGAAACAGCAAUCUGAAUGGCUGAAAAAGGAUGGACCCAGCACUCCAGAGUCUCACACUGUCACCAGGCUGGAGUGCCGUGGCGCAAUAUCAGCUCACUGUAACCUCCACCUCCCAGGUUGAAGUGAUUCUCCCAUCUCAGCCCCCAAGUAGCUGGGACUACAGGACAUUGUUGCAGGAAGUCAGGGACCCCAAACGGGGGGACUGGCUGAAGCCAUGGCAGAAAAACAUGGAUUGUGAAGGUUUCAUGGACAUUUAUUAGUUCCCCAAAUUAAUACUUUUAUAAUUUCUUAUGCCUGUCUUUACUGCAAUCUCUAAACAUAAAUUGUAAAGAUUUCAUGGACACUUAUCACUUCCCCAGUCAAUACCCUUGUGAUUUCCUAUGCCUGUCUUUACUUUAAUCUCUCAAUCCUGUCAGCUGAGGAGGAUGUAUAUUACCUCAGGACCCUGUAAUAAUUGCAUUAACUGCACAAAUUAUACAGCAUGUGUGUUUGAGCAAUAUGAAAUCUGGGCACCUUGAAAAAAGAACAGGAUAACAGCAAUGUUUAGGAAACAAGAGAGAUAACCUUAAAUUCUGACCGCCGGUGAGCCAGGUGGAACAAAGCCACAUUUCUCUUCUUUCACAAGCAAAUGGGAGAAAUAUCACUGAAUUCUUUUUCUCAGCAAGGAACAUCCUUGAGAAAGAGAAUGCACACCUGGGAGUGGGUCUCUGAACUGGCCCCCCUGGGUGUAGCCAUCUCUUAUGGUCGAGACUGCAGGGGUGAAAUAGACCCCAGUCUCCCAUAGCACUCCCAGGCUUAUUAGGAAGAGGAAAUUCCCACCUAAUAAAUUUUAGUCAGACCAGUUGAUCUCAAAACCGUCUCCUGAUAAGAUGUUAUCAAUGACAAUGGUGCCCAAAACUUCAUUAGCAAUUUUAAUUUCACCUUGGUCCUGUGAUCUCGCCCUGCCUCCACUUGCCUUGUGAUAUUCUAUUACCUUGUAAAGUACUUGAUGUCUGUGACCCACACCUAUUUGCACACUCCCUCCCCUUUUGAAAAUCCCUAAUAAAAACUUGCUGGUUUUUGCGGCUUGUGGGGCAUCACGGAACCUACCGACAUGUGAUGUCUGCCCCGGACACCCAGCUUUAAAAUUUCUCUCUUUUGUACUCUGUCCCUUUAUUUCUCAAGUUGGCUGACACUUAGGGAAAAUAGAAAAGAACCUAUGUGAAUAUCGGGGCUGGUUCCCUGACAGGACAUAACCUCUUCAAAAAAUAAAAAAGAAAUAAAAGCCUACAGCCAAACCAACAAAAUAGAGUGCAUAUCUCACCAGAACUGCAAAGACAAGUAUGCUGGUAUUACUACUUUUAGUUGGUGUUGUGCAGCGGGUUAAAAUCAGUCCAGUAAAGCAAGAAAAUAUUUAGAGAGAGCUUCAUCAUCAUACGAAUUUUGGGGGUCAUUGUUCAGUCCAAAGUACUUAAUAUGAUUCUUUUCUCUUUCCACAUAGAGAAUCAGAUAAUCUAUAAAUAAUGACUCUUACUGUUCCACUUUAGGAGUUAGGUAUACAUACAUAUGUGUAUAUAUAUGUAUAUAUAUAUACACAUACACACACACACACACACACACACAGUGACCCCCCAAAUUUCAUAUGAAGUUCCAAACCUCAAUGUGACUGUAUGUGAAAAGAGAAGGGGGCGGGGAGGGGGGAGACCGACCGACCUAUUUGUUGGUCUCCAUCGUGUGAAAACAUGAGGAAGUGGGCACUUACAUGCCAGGAAGAGAGCUCUCACUAGAGGUUGACCAUGCUGGCACUCUGAUCUCAGACUUCCAGCCUCCAGAUAUGUGAGAAUAUAAAUUUGUGUUUUGGGCCAGAUACGGUGGCUCAGGCCUGUAAUCCCAGCACUUUGGGAGGCCAAGGCAGGUGGAUCACCAAAGGUCAGAUCUGACCAACAUGGAGAUCAGCCUAACCAACAUGGAGAAACCCUGUCUCUACUAAAAAUACAAACUUAGCUAAGGUUUGUGGUGCAUGCCAAUAAUCCCAGCUACUGAGGGUGAGGCAGGAGAAUCACUGGAACUCAGGAGGUGGAGGUUGCGGUGAGCCAAGAUCAUACCAUUGCACUCCAGCCUGGGCAACAAGAGCAAAACUCCAUCUCAAAAAAAAAAAAAAAAAAAAAAAAAAAAUCCUGUGUUUUUAACCUCAUUGAUUUAAAAUUAAAUUAAUUUCUAAGCCA
rnacentral:lncRNA from 1 species